UUGUAUCAUGGGAAUGAGAAUCAGAUGUUUAAACCACAUUUGUUGCUUGCUUGCUUACUUGCUUGCUUCAUCAAGCUCCUAUCUUCCCAGAUUCCCAGUCACUGCACAAGACUGUACGAGAAGGAGCAUCUUGUGCUGAAACUGCGUGGUCUGGUCUAGUCUUGUCUGAGCUGAUCUUCUUCAACGUCGUCCGCGGUGGGCAUUUCUCCCUCCGCGUGGACUUGUAAAGCACCGACCAAGCAUCAAAGCUGGCAGAGGAAAUCCCACUAGGCUGCGUCAUCUUGCUACUAACCCAAGCUGCUUGCUUUCCUGCCUAGGACGAAGGGAAUGUGGC
rnacentral:lncRNA from 1 species